CCUACGGGAGGCAGCAGUGGGGAAUAUUGGGCAAUGGAGGAAACUCUGACCCAGCGACGCCGCGUGCGGGAUGAAGGCCUUCGGGUUGUAAACCGCUUUCAGUAGGGAAGAAGCGAAAGUGACGGUACCUACAAAAGAAGCACCGGCUAACUAUGUGCCAGCAGCCGCGGUAAUACAUAGGGUGCAAGCGUUGUCCGGAAUUAUUGGGCGUAAAGAGCUCGUAGGUCGUUUGUUACGUCGGAUGUGAAAACCUGAGGCUCAACCUCAGGCCUGCAUUCGAUACGGGCAAACUAGAGUUUGGUAGGGGAGACUGGAAUUCCUGGUGUAGCGGUGGAAUGCGCAGAUAUCAGGAGGAACACCAAUGGCGAAGGCAGGUCUCUGGGCCAAUACUGACACUGAGGAGCGAAAGUCUGGGGAGCGAACAGGAUUAGAUACCCUGGUAGUCCAGACCGUAAACGGUGGGCACUAGUUGUGGGAACCUUCCACGGUUUCUGCGACGCAGCUAACGCAUUAAGUGCCCCGCCUGGGGAGUACGAUCGCAAGAUUAAAACUCAAAGGAAUUGACG
rnacentral:rRNA from 1 species